rnacentral:rRNA from 1 species
UACAGAGGGGGCAAGCGUUGUUCGGAAUUACUGGGCGUAAAGGGCGCGUAGGCGGCCUGCUAAGUCGAACGUGAAAUCCCCGGGCUCAACCCGGGAACUGCGUCCGAUACUGGCAGGCUUGAAUCCGGGAGAGGGAUGCGGAAUUCCAGGUGUAGCGGUGAAAUGCGUAGAUAUCUGAAGGAACACCGGUGGCGAAGGCGGCAUCCUGGACCGGCAUUGACGCUGAGGCGCGAAAGCCAGGGGAGCAAACGGG